rnacentral:sRNA from 1 species
AACCGGAUCAUUGCGUCGCGGCAGGCGGCA